AUCCUGCUGACAAGUCCUAAAUCGAACGAAACGCGCGUUCUGGAU
rnacentral:hammerhead_ribozyme from 1 species